GAAACGACUCUCGACAACGGAUAUCUCGGCUCUCGCAUCGAUGAAGAACGUAGCGAAAUGCGAUACUUGGUGUGAAUUGCAGAAUCCCGUGAACCAUCGAGUCUUUGAACGCAAGUUGCGCCCGAAGCCUUUAGGCCGAGGGCACGCCUGCCUGGGUGUCACAC
rnacentral:rRNA from 1 species